GACGAACGCUGGCGGCGUGCCUAAUACAUGCAAGUCGAACGAGAGCGACCGGUGCUUGCACUGGUCAAUCUAGUGGCGAACGGGUGAGUAACACGUGGGUAACCUGCCCAUCAGAGGGGGAUAACAUUCGGAAACGGAUGCUAAAACCGCAUAGGUUCUUGAGCUGCAUGGCUCGAGAAGGAAAAGAGGCUUCGGCUUCUGCUGAUGGAUGGACCCGCGGUGCAUUAGCUAGUUGGUGAGGUAACGGCUCACCAAGGCCGUGAUGCAUAGCCGACCUGAGAGGGUGAUCGGCCACAUUGGGACUGAGACACGGCCCAAACUCCUACGGGAGGCAGCAGUAGGGAAUCUUCCGCAAUGGACGCAAGUCUGACGGAGCAACGCCGCGUGAGUGAAGAAGGAUUUCGGUUCGUAAAACUCUGUUGUUAGAGAAGAACAGCGCAUAGAGUAACUGUUAUGCGUGUGACGGUAUCUAACCAGAAAGC
rnacentral:rRNA from 1 species